rnacentral:rRNA from 1 species
GAUGAACGCUAGCGGCAGGCUUAAUACAUGCAAGUCGAGGGGCAGCACGGUUAGCAAUAACUGGUGGCGACCGGCGCACGGGUACGUAACACGUAUACAAUCUACCUUAAACAGGGGGAUAGCCUUUCGAAAGAGAGAUUAAUACCCCGUAAUAAAUUGAACGGCAUCGUUUGAUUUUGAAAGCUCCGGCGGUUUGAGAUGAGUAUGCGUCUGAUUAGCUAGUUGGUGAGGUAACGGCUCUCCAAGGCGACGAUCAGUAGGGGAUCUGAGAGGACUAACCCCCACACUGGUACUGAGACACGGACCAGACUCCUACGGGAGGCAGCAGUAAGGAAUAUUGGUCAAUGGAGGCAACUCUGAACCAGCCAUGCCGCGUGCAGGAUGACGGCCCUAUGGGUUGUAAACUGCUUUUAUACAAGAGAAAACCCUGGUACGUGUACCAGGUUGAUAGUAUUGUAAGAAUAAGCAUCGGCUAACUUCGUGCCAGCAGCCGCGGUAAU